UUUGAGUGACCUUGGUGACCUUUGGUGGGUUUUGGGUUGACCUUUGGGUGACCUCGUUUGACGUUGGGUGGGCGUGGCCUUGACCAUGGGUUGGUCUUGGCCAUUGGUUGGUUCUUCUUGACCUUGGGUUGGUUUUGGCUUUGGCCAUGGGUUGGUCUUGACCUUGGGUUGACCUUGGGUUGGUCUUGCUGUUGAUUUGCUUGAUCUUGAUGUGAGUUGGUCUUGACUUUGAGUUGACUUUGGCCAUUGGUUGGUCUUGACCUUGGGUUGGUCUUGAUCAUCGGUUGGUUCUUCUUGACCUUGGGUUGGUUUUGACUUUGGCCAUGGAUUGGUCUUGACUUUGAGUUGGCCUUGGGUUGGUCUUCACCAUGAGUUGGUCUUGACUUUGGGUUGACUUUGGUCAUUGGUUGGUCUUGACCUUGGGUUGGCCUUGGAUUGGUCUCGACAUUGGGUCGGUCUUGACUUUGGCUUGACCUUGGGUUGACUUUGGCCAUUGGUUGGUCUUGACCUUGGGUUGGUUUUGACUUUGGGUUGGUCUUGACGUGAGUUGGUCUUGACUUUGGCCAUGGGUUGGUCUUGACUUUGGGUUGACCUUGGGUUGGUCUUGGUCAUGGAUUGGUCUUGACUUUGGGUUGGUCUUGGCCAUUGGUUGGUCUUGACUUUGAGUUCGUUUUGACCUUGGGUUGGUUGGUCUUGACUUUUGGUUGGUCAUGGCCAUGGCUUGGUCUUGACUUUGGGUUGGUUGAUCUUGACCAUGGGUUGGUCUUGACUUUGAGUUUGUUUUGACCUUGGAUUGGUCUUGAGUUUGUCUUGGUUUUUGGGUUGGUCUCGGCCAUGGCUUGGUCUUGACUUGAGUUUGGUCUCAGGAUUGGUCUCAACCAUGGCUUGAUCUUGACCAUUGGUUGGUUGACCUUGACUUGACAUGGCCUCGACCUGGGCUGACCGUUGGUCUUGGUUCUGCUGACCAUUGAUGGAGAU
rnacentral:lncRNA from 1 species